CUCGUCUAGUCAUGCUGAUCAAGAAUAUAUAUACUUUAUGGGGUCGGAAACGUCUCCUUCACUGCGUUGCAAACUUCUGACUGAAAUCAUUAUACCCUCUGCAAGGGUAUAAAAAUGAAGAAAAAACCUAGAAAACGCCUGCAGAAUAUCAGUGCAGAUGAAAAAGGACCCCUUAUCCAAGCUGUUGCCCAUUAUUGUAGGACUUCACCGACAGUAAGCAUUACCACAACAGGGGCAAAUCAGCAGAAUGGUUGCAGUGCUGCAGGAGAUCCACUAGAGAAUCCCAAUGGGAAGGAACAUGCUCUCUACAUGGACAUCCUGCCGGGCGUAUCCUCGUAAAGAAAGUAAGAUCUGGCCAAAAGAACCUGGACUCCAGACACCACCACCACCAGCUACUUGGCCAGCUUAAGCGGAGCUGGAGGACCCGCUGGCUUCUAUAGGGAGGAGGAAAAUAAGGCGCCCGCUAAGGAACAGUUUAAGAAGCCAUAGACAACCACUGCGAGGAUGCUGCGCGACUUGCUGCAGCAUCAGCGGAUCAACCCCGUACCCAAUUCGGCUCCCACUUCCUUAAGGCCCAAUAUGCCUAUUGGUACUCGGAGCUGGACUGCGGUGGCGCGGGAAGGAUGGCAAAGCAUCCGUAAACUACUUAUUUACAUAAAUAAAAACAUUCGUUGUACAUUCCA